rnacentral:rRNA from 1 species
UACGUAGGGUGCAGGCGUUAAUCGGAAUUACUGGGCGUAAAGCGUGCGCAGGCGGCUUUGCAAGACAGAUGUGAAAUCCCCGGGCUUAACCUGGGAACUGCAUUUGUGACUGCAUGGCUGGAGUGCGGCAGAGGGGGAUGGAAUUCCGCGUGUAGCAGUGAAAUGCGUAGAUAUGCGGAGGAACACCGAUGGCGAAGGCAAUCCCCUGGGCCUGCACUGACGCUCAUGCACGAAAGCGUGGGGAGCAAACAGG